GAGUUUGAUCAUGGCUCAGGAUGAACGCUGACAGAAUGCUUAACACAUGCAAGUCUACUUGAUCCUUCGGGUGAAGGUGGCGGACGGGUGAGUAACGCGUAAAGAACUUGCCUUACAGACUGGGACAACAUUUGGAAACGAAUGCUAAUACCGGAUAUUAUGAUUGGGUCGCAUGAUCUGGUUAUGAAAGCUAUAUGCGCUGUGAGAGAGCUUUGCGUCCCAUUAGUUAGUUGGUGAGGUAACGGCUCACCAAGACGAUGAUGGGUAGCCGGCCUGAGAGGGUGAACGGCCACAAGGGGACUGAGACACGGCCCUUACUCCUACGGGAGGCAGCAGUGGGGAAUAUUGGACAAUGGACCAAAAGUCUGAUCCAGCAAUUCUGUGUGCACGAUGAAGUUUUUCGGAAUGUAAAGUGCUUUCAGUUGGGAAGAAGUCAGUGACGGUACCAACAGAAGAAGCGACGGCUAAAUACGUGCCAGCAGCCGCGGUAAUACGUAUGUCGCAAGCGUUAUCCGGAUUUAUUGGGCGUAAAGCGCGUCUAGGCGGCUUAGUAAGUCUGAUGUGAAAAUGCGGGGCUCAACCCCGUAUUGCGUUGGAAACUGCUAAACUAGAGUACUGGAGAGGUAGGCGGAACUACAAGUGUAGAGGUGAAAUUCGUAGAUAUUUGUAGGAAUGCCGAUGGGGAAGCCAGCCUACUGGACAGAUACUGACGCUAAAGCGCGAAAGCGUGGGUAGCAAACAGGAUUAGAUACCCUGGUAGUCCACGCCGUGAACGAUGAUUACUAGGUGUUGGGGGUCGAACCUCAGCGCCCAAGCUAACGCGAUAAGUAAUCCGCCUGGGGAGUACGUACGCAAGUA
rnacentral:rRNA from 1 species